rnacentral:tRNA from 1 species
GGCCAUAGCUCAGUGGUAGAGUAUCAGCUUGUUAUGUAGAAGCUCCUGGGUUCAGUGCCCAGCAUCGCCA